AAUCCCUCGAGACAUCUGUUCCGCCCAACCCCUUCGUGCGCCGCCCCUCCCUACUCCUCUGACCCCUUUGCUAGCGCCGCCGUCUCAGGUUCGCGGCCUCUCUACUCACGGUCGCCCUCUCCAAGUAAGUCCCCCAUGGUCCUCCUCCCAGGCAUCGCUGCUGGUCCUCCUUCAUCGAUUGGGCCGCGGGAUACUUCAGGGAAGCAAGGCAGUAGGAAGAAGAGAGAGGAGAAAUUAGGAAGGGAGCAGCAGGAAGAAGGUUCGAUAAAUUCUAGCGCGAGCGUGUGGCGCCAGGUUCUCAACAAGGUUAAGGCAAGUGCAAUGACGAACCUCUUGAUGUGUGAUUAUGUUUGUGGCUUUCUUGCCGCCCUUGAGCAAUGUUUAUUGGUCUUUAUUUCAUAUGUCAAUUUCUUUAAGCUUCAAGUUAUAAUUUUUUGGUUCUACCAAAUGUUCAAGAUUCGUGUGUUGACUUUCAUAUCAUUCAAGUGCCGGGGGUUCGUGUAAACACCGGUUGUGCAAUUUAGUUCUUAUGUUCAGGUUCCUAUGAAUAAGUGCUGGCCCACUUAUUCGGCUUUACCGGAAAAUGCUAAGGAAGUUUCGGGUGACGUCCGUUUCAGACGGAAACUACUAUUUCAUUGUUGUUCCAUGAUUCUGGAUUUCUGUUGUUCAAGUACUUGCAGUCGUUCUUCUAAUUCCGAAUUGUGCUUGCUGAGUAUUUCUACUCACUCUUGUGUUUUAUUUGGUUUUUAGGUACUCGCUGAUCAAGUUUGCAUAGGAUGGGAGUAGCCACAUCUUGAUGAGCACGCAUACACCUUUGUCAUUCAUUUAAACAAUACUCUAGGCUGGAUAAUUCUUUUGAUGUUGAGGAUUGUUGCAUGGUCAUUUGAUUGUUGCUUAAGAUUUAAUUAUUCGGUUGUGUUGGUUGAUGAGCAAGUUUA